AGCGUAGGUGGCUUGAUAAGUCAGAUGUGAAAGCCCCGGGCUCAACCUGGGAACGGCAUCUGAUACUGUUAGGCUAGAGUAGGUGAGAGGAAGGUAGAAUUCCAGGUGUAGCGGUGAAAUGCGUAGAGAUCUGGAGGAAUACCGAUGGCGAAGGCAGCCUUCUGGCAUCAUACUGACACUGAGGUUCGAAAGCGUGGGUAGCAAACAGGAUUAGAUACCCUGGUAGUCCACGCCGUAAACGAUGUCUACUAGUCGUUGGGUCCCUUGAGGACUUAGUGACGCAGCUAACGCAAUAAGUAGACCGCCUGGGGAGUACGGCCGCAAGGCUAAAACUCAAAUGAAUUGACGGGGGCCCGCACAAGCGGUGGAGCAUGUGGUUUAAUUCGAUGCAACGCGAAGAACCUUACCUGGUCUUGACAUAUCUAGAGUCCUGCAGAGAUGCGGGAGUGCCUUCGGGAAUUAGAAUACAGGUGCUGCAUGGCUGUCGUCAGCUCGUGUCGUGAGAUGUUGGGUUAAGUCCCGCAACGAGCGCAACCCUUGUCCUUAGUUACCAGCGGUUUGGCCGGGAACUCUAAGGAUACUGCCAGUGACAAACUGGAGGAAGGCGGGGACGACGUCAAGUCAUCAUGGCCCUUACGACCAGGGCUACACACGUGCUACAAUGGUAGGUACAGAGGGCAGCUACACAGCGAUGUGAUGCGAAUCUCAAAAAGCCUAUCGUAGUCCAGAUUGGAGUCUGCAACUCGACUCCAUGAAGUAGGAAUCGCUAGUAAUCGCGGAUCAGAAU
rnacentral:rRNA from 1 species